AGGAGAUGGUCAAACUGAAGAGCAUCCAGAAUUUUUGAUAAGGAUAAGAGAUAAUUCAAAGCACCUGAAAAUUAUAUAGGGUGGUUGAAGUUGCUGGAAUUGUUUAUCCUGGGGGAAUAUGAUAACCAUCAAGAACAAGUCCAGGGAACUGAAUUCAAAACCCGAGGUGCCAGCUAACUGAUGCAGAGAGGAAAAACAAAAGCACAAGUCAUCAAGCCGGACUGAGGUGCUGGACCAUCACAUUUGAAUGACAGCGACAGAAUUACUUAAGUGCAUUGGACACCUUGUUCUGUGGAGCCACACACAGGGACUUGAUUCUACAGGUCA